rnacentral:rRNA from 1 species
GGGUUGUGAGGUUAAGCGACUAAGCGUACACGGUGGAUGCCCUGGCAGUCAGAGGCGAUGAAGGACGUGCUAAUCUGCGAUAAGCGCCGGUAAGGUGAUAUGAACCGUUAUAACCGGCGAUUUCCGAAUGGGGAAACCCAGUGUGAUUCGUCACACUAUCAUUAACUGAAUCCAUAGGUUAAUGAGGCGAACCGGGGGAACUGAAACAUCUAAGUACCCCGAGGAAAAGAAAUCAACCGAGAUUCCCCCAGUAGCGGCGAGCGAACGGGGAGGAGCCCAGAGCCUGAAUCAGCAUGUGUGUUAGUGGAAGCGUCUGGAAAGGCGCGCGAUACAGGGUGACAGCCCCGUACACAAAAGCGCAUGUGCUGUGAGCUCGAUGAGUAGGGCGGGACACGUGGUAUCCUGUCUGAAUAUGGGGGGACCAUCCUCCAAGGCUAAAUACUCCUGACUGACCGAUAGUGAACCAGUACCGUGAGGGAAAGGCGAAAAGAACCCCGGCGAGGGGAGUGAAAAAGAACCUGAAACCGUGUACGUACAAGCAGUGGGAGCACCCUUUGGGGUGUGACUGCGUACCUUUUGUAUAAUGGGUCAGCGACUUAUAUUCUGUAGCAAGGUUAACCGUAUAGGGGAGCCGGAGGGAAACC